CAACUGAAAAAAAUUCUACAAAACCAGCAACCUCGAAAUCCCAUCUAUGAUGUUGUAAGGAAAGGAAAGAAUGAGGUUAAACCUGUUCAAAUGAAUGCCCCCGAUGAAGAUGAGACCAUUAAUGUGAACUACAAUAUUAUGUGUCUCAGUCGUGAAGAAGGUAUUAAGUGGAUCAAAAAAGAAAGACUUCCAGCAUUUCUGGAAAGUGAUUGUUACUUUGAAUACAGGUUAGCCAAAUUGGUCUCACAAGUAAGAUGGAGCAAGUCCGGCAUGAAUUUCACAGUAGGAUCAAAUUUUUCUCCCUGGAUCGUGAAAAAACCACCCAGUCUACCACCUCCUGCCACUGAAGAAGAUAAUCUUGUAAUUAUGAAAAAGUUCUAUGUAUCACUUGGUGAGGCUUCCUAUACUCAAACAAAAGAUUGGUUUGCAUUAGCAAAACAAAGUCAGCAAACAGUAUCAACCUUUUCGUUACCCUGUUGUGUACCCUACAACAAACUUAAAUCACCAGCUAUUUCAUCUGUUUCUGAGAAUUUUAUCUUUGAUGAUGGAGUUCACCCUAGGACAAAAAAGGACCCAUCUAAAACCAACAAAUUGAUUUCUGAAUUUGAAGAAGAAGAAGGAGAAGAAGAAGAGGUGUCUGUAUCUCUACAAGACACUCCUUCUCAAGCUCUUCUGAGAGUAUACCUUGAAAAGAAACAGGAUGUUGAUGAAAGCCUGACGAUGCAUUUCUCAACAUGUGAAGAAUUUUUAAGCUCCUAUAUAUACUUUAUUUUGAGAGGAGCAAUUCAGCAAAUUGUUGGAAAGCCAGUUGGAGAAACCCCAGACUAUAUAAACUUCAACAAUAUAACAAAAGUGUCAUUUGAUGAUUGUUUUGAGUCUAUUCAUGGCAAGAAUUUUUUAAGUGAAUUAGUUCAAACUACAAAGGAGAGGUCAGAAGAGAUAGAACAAACAAGUUUAAGUUCAAAGAGUGAGAGCGCUGGACCAGAGAGCAGGGCGGACUGGUGUAUUUCUCAUAGGACUUAUGACAUUGGCAAUAGAAAGGAGUUUGAAAGAUUUAAGAAAUUUAUAAAAGGUACAUUGGGAGAGAGAUAUUGGUGGCUAUGGAUGGAUAUUGAGAGGUUAAAAGUUCUUAAGGAUCCUGGAAGACAUCAAAGACAUCUUGAGAAGAUGAAAAAAUGCUAUCUAGUGAGCAAUGGAGAUUACUACCUUUCUGCAGAAAUCUUAUCAAAAUUUAAACUGUUAGAUGGAUCACAGUGGAAUGAAGAGCAUUUAAGAAAUAUUCAGUCUGAAGUUUUAAAACCUUUACUUCUGUAUUGGGCACCAAGAUUCUGUGUUACUCAUUCAGCCUCAACAAAAUAUGCUAGUGCUGAACUGAAAUUCUGGCACCUCCGUCAAGCAAAACCAAGGAAGGAUAUUGACCCUUUUCCACAAAUGGCAACCCUCUUGCCAUUAAGACCCAAAUCUUGCAUUCCACAGAUACCUGAGAUCCAGAAAGAAGAAUUCAGCUUAUCACAACCUCCUAAAUCUCCCAAUAAAUCACCUGAAGUAAAAACAGCAACUCAAAAGCCUUGGAAGAGGGAGCUUUUGUAUCCAGGUUCUUCUAAGGAUGAUGUGAUUGAGAAAGGGUCAAAGUACAUGUCAGAAAGCAGCAAAGUCAUUCAUUUAACAUCUUUUACUGACAUUUCUGAAUGUCUCAAGCCCCAGCUGGAUAGAAGAUACGCUUAUACAGAAGAACCUAGGGUUAAAACCGUGUCAGAUGUUGGUGCCUUGGGAGGAUUUGACAUGGAAAAUUUGUUGCAAUCUUUGUAUGUAGAAAAUAGAGCUGGAUUCUUCUUUACUAAAUUCUGCGAGCAUUCAGGGAACAAGUUGUGGAAGAACAGUGUGUACUUUUGGUUUGACCUGCAGGCUUAUCAUCAGCUUUUCUACCAAGAAACACUUCAGCCUUUUAAAGUUUGCAAGCAAGCGCAAGUACGUAGUAAAUAAUAUUGUUUCAAUGUGAAGCACUAAGUACACAGAGAAAUGAAAAUUGUGUCCAGUCCGAAACAAGAGAAAUCUGGGAUCGCAGGCAAAAAGGCAGCAAUUAAAUUGUUGCCAUGGGAUUACUUUAUUUGAAAUCAGCAGAAUAUUGUUUUAUAAUAUGAUUUGUGAGUUUUCAGUUUUAUCUCUUUUAUUUGGUUUGCUUUAUUUUCUCUUGCCAACUACUUGUUCUUCUGAUAAAGAACAUCUCUCUCUCUCUUUUUUUUCUAAUGUAUACCUUUUUGGUUUGGUUUUGAGUGAUUUAAAAGAAGACCCUGAGAAUGGACAUGUAAUGAAUCAUUGAAGUGAUGGGGAACAGAGACAUUGACCAAUGUUGCUCUCUGAGCUUCCUGCAGGUAUCAGCUGU
rnacentral:sRNA from 1 species